rnacentral:lncRNA from 1 species
GUACGAUUGUACCGUAUGUUUGUGAGGGUACCGAACUUCUGGCGGAUCUAAGGGGGGACAUUUGGGGCAAAUGCCCCUCCCCCCUGCAGCGCCCAAAAUCGACGAAAAUGUUCGUUUUUUCGAGGAUAAAACGAAAACUAAACUUUUCUUAGAAAAAAGUAUCUUUUAAACUGCACAGCAGUGCGAAAGGAGUCGAAAUCCGAUGAGUUUUUAGAAUUUGGAGAAACUUUUUGGGGGUAGGUAUGCCCCCCGCAGCGUCCAAGACCGCUUUUCUGGAUCCGCCAAUGAGAUUUGGAGGAAUCUGGAGGAUUUUUGUAACUGAUCUGGAGGAUUACAGCCUUCUACAUCUGGCAGCACUGCCGAAAAUCUGAGAAACGCGAUUUGACCUUGGACGUGCCCCGUGCCAGUGCACUGGCCUUAGGGGUGCUGAAGAACUUGAUUUGGAUGCCGGCGGCGGCGACGACAGUGCGCCGGCGCACAUCUCUAUGGAGGUGGACACGGCGACCCGUGGGCGACCGCCGCUGCCGCGGUUUGCUACAGGUGGCCAUGGCCACUAAUCUGUCACGAACUUCUGACAGUGAACGCCAGUCGGUUCUCGGAUGUGAGGACGCGCCCGUCGAAUCAAGUGACGGAGAUGCACCGUGUGACAGUGUGCGUUUUCCGGGCGAGUUCGUUGCGCUGUGUGCCGGUCGUGCGCGGGACUGGUACCACCCGUCGUUCCACCAGUUAUCAGUGCUGCAGCGCGCCGUGCGCGAUCUCAGUGCCGCCGUCGAGGAGACUGUGCGCCGCGAGCUGCCGCCCGAGGACCGGCCGGCGCUGACCCGGCUGUAGCCGCUGGCUGACGGCGCGCUGUCGCUGCGUCCGCCGACCCUGCGCCGGCCGCGCCGGGAGGCCGAGCUGCUGACCCAGCUGCAGCAGCUGGCGGUGGCCCUGGACGGCGCCUGCCCCCUGGUGGCGGGUGGCAGCUGCGGGAGCCACGUGACGCCGUCUGCGCUCUCGGCAGCGCGCCACCUGGAGCCGCAUGCAGACCGCGUUGCCAGAGCUGCGUCGUCUGACGUCGGGUCUGCUGCGACUGGUGACGCGCCAGAGGACGCGCUGGUCACCGCCGCGAGCCCGGAUCGAGACGGACACGGAGACAGUUCCGAACGGAGCCUCCCUCACCAGGUCUCUGAAUGGAGCUGCGUUCCGGUGGGCGGCUGACUGCGCUCUCUCGGUCUGGCCCAGUACGCCGACGCGUUCGUCGCCCGCUCUGUGGAUGGCGCCCGGCUUCUGGGGCUCACCGAACAGGCUAUGGAAGACGAGCCUGACGUCGGUCUCGACGUGGCGACCUCGGAGCCAGCGUGUUGGGUCUCGGCUUCCCGCCACUCACCGGCGGACCUUUCCGCUUCGUGGACCGCAUCGGUCCCGCACAGCUAGUCAAGGACAUGGAGCGCUUCGCCGUCGUCAAUGGCGUCGGCUUCGAGCCGUGCCUGACCGUGCACUACCAGGCCGCUAGCGGCACCAAGUUCUGUUCGGCCGGGCCUCGUGUAAUGCCCACAUGUGAUGACCGAGUGUAUACGCAUGUGAAGCCGCUCCGCGUGUGUACCAGCGCUGGGCGUGUUCAGUUUCAAAGUAAAUAUAGAACCCUGGUGAUCAA